rnacentral:rRNA from 1 species
CCAGCUUGCUGGGUGGAUCAGUGGCGAACGGGUGAGUAACACGUGAGCAACCUGCCCCUGACUCUGGGAUAAGCGCUGGAAACGGCGUCUAAUACUGGAUACGAGUAGCGACCGCAUGGUCAGUUACUGGAAAGAUUUAUUGGUUGGGGAUGGGCUCGCGGCCUAUCAGCUUGUUGGUGAGGUAAUGGCUCACCAAGGCGUCGACGGGUAGCCGGCCUGAGAGGGUGACCGGCCACACUGGGACUGAGACACGGCCCAGACUCCUACGGGAGGCAGCAGUGGGGAAUAUUGCACAAUGGGCGCAAGCCUGAUGCAGCAACGCCGCGUGAGGGAUGACGGCCUUCGGGUUGUAAACCUCUUUUAGCAGGGAAGAAGCGAAAGUGACGGUACCUGCAGAAAAAGCGCCGGCUAACUACGUGCCAGCAGCCGCGGUAAUACGUAGGGCGCAAGCGUUAUCCGGAAUUAUUGGGCGUAAAGAGCUCGUAGGCGGUUUGUCGCGUCUGCUGUGAAAUCCGGAGGCUCAACCUCCGGCCUGCAGUGGGUACGGGCAGACUAGAGUGCGGUAGGGGAGAUUGGAAUUCCUGGUGUAGCGGUGGAAUGCGCAGAUAUCAGGAGGAACACCGAUGGCGAAGGCAGAUCUCUGGGCCGUAACUGACGCUGAGGAGCGAAAGGGUGGGGAGCAAACAGGCUUAGAUACCCUGGUAGUCCACCCCGUAAACGUUGGGAACUAGUUGUGGGGUCCAUUCCACGGAUUCCGUGACGCAGCUAACGCAUUAAGUUCCCCGCCUGGGGAGUACGGCCGCAAGGCUAAAACUCAAAGGAAUUGACGGGGACCCGCACAAGCGGCGGAGCAUGCGGAUUAAUUCGAUGCAACGCGAAGAACCUUACCAAGGCUUGACAUAU